UGGGGAAUUUUGGACAAUGGGGGAAACCCUGGUCCAGCCAUCCCGCGUGUGCGAUGAAGGCCUUCGGGUUGUAAAGCACUUUUUGCAGGAAAGAAACGUCAUGGGUUAAUACCCCGUGAAACUGACGGUACCUGCAUAAUAAGCACCGGCUAACUACGUGCCAGCAGCCGCGUUAAUACGUAGGGUGCAAGCGUUAAUCGGAAUUACUGGGCGUAAAGCGUGCGCAGGCGGUUCGGAAAGAAAGAUGUGAAAUCCCAGAGCUCAACUUUGGAACUGCAUUUUUAACUACCGGGCUAGAGUGUGUCAGAGGGAGGUGGAAUUCCGCGUGUAGCAGUGAAAUGCGUAGAUAUGCGGAGGAACACCGAUGGCGAAGGCAGCCUCCUGGGAUAACACUGACGCUAAUGCACGAAAGCGUGGGGAGCAAACAGG
rnacentral:rRNA from 1 species